rnacentral:rRNA from 1 species
UACGGAAGGCGCAGUGGGGAAUAUUGCACAAUGGGCGAAAGCCUGAUGCAGCUAUGCCGCGUGUAUGAAGAAGGCCUUAGGGUUGUAAAGUACUUUCAUCGGGGAGGAAAAACAAAACUAAUAAUUUUAUUUCUUGACGUUACCCGAAAAAGAAGCACCGGCUAACUCCGUGCCAGCAGCCGCGGUAAUACGGAGGGUGCUAGCGUUAAUCAGAAUUACUGGGCGUAAAGAGCACGUAGGUGGUUUUUUUAAGUCAGAUGUGAAAUCCCUGGGCUUAACCUGGAACUGCAUUUUGAAACUGAAAUACUAGAGUAUCGUAGAGGGAGGUAGAAUUCUAGGUGUAGCGGUGAAAUGCGUAGAUAUCUGGAGGAAUACCUGUGGCGAAAGCGGCCUCCUAAACGAAUACUGACACUGAGGUGCGAAAGCGUGGGGAGCAAACAGGGAUUAGAUACC